rnacentral:rRNA from 1 species
ACGCUCGACACCUACGGGGGGCAGCAGUGGGGAAUAUUGCACAAUGGGGGAAACCCUGAUGCAGCGACGCCGCGUGGAGGAAGAAGGUCUUCGGAUUGUAAACUCCUGUUGUUGGGGAAAAAGNGGAUGGUACCCAACAAGGAAGUGACGGCUAAGUACGUGCAAGCAGCCGCGGUAAUCUGAGCGGGCUGGCAAGGC